rfam:Halanaerobium hydrogeniformans chromosome, complete genome.
UAAGUCGACCAGAUGAUCGCAUCUCAAUGAGAUGAGGAAAGUCCGGGCUCCAUAGGAUAGGAUGCCGGGUAAUACCCGGUGGAGGUAACUCCCAGGCUAGUGCCACAGAAAUAUACCGCCUUAAUUAUUUAAGGUAAGGGUGAAAAGGUAAGGUAAGAGCUUACCGGAUUUCAGGUAACUGGAAUGCCAGGUAAACCCCAUCUGGAGUAAGUCCAAAUAGGGAGAAAUUAAGAGUGAUCCGCUCUUCUCCGGGUAAGGACGCUAAAAUAAACAGGUAACUGUUUAUUUAGAUAGAUGAUCAUCCACGACAGAACUCGGCUUACCGGUCGACUUAUUUU